rnacentral:rRNA from 1 species
GCCACAGCCAUAUCCCCCUGCAGCCCAAGACUGGUCACCCACUGAAGCUGCAGGGUUGAGCUGGUCAGUACCCGGAUGGGAGACCUGCUGGGAAACUAGGCAGCUGCUGGAA